AACAUCGCGCACCUGCGGGAACCUGCGGAGGGAUCAUUACCGAGUUUACAACUCCCAAACCCCUGUGAACAUACCUAUACGUUGCCUCGGCGGAUCAGCCCGCGCCCCGUAAAACGGGACGGCCCGCCCGAGGACCCCUAAACUCUGUUUUUAGUGGAACUUCUGAGUAAAACAAACAAAUAAAUCAAAACUUUCAGCAAUGGAUCU
rnacentral:misc_RNA from 1 species